UGUAGAUAUAUUUUAACAUGUUAAGUACCAGAACGUGAAAAUGGUGCCACAUGUGUCAUCUAGAGAGAUAUUGUUUGCGAUUUUGUUGAUUUGUAUUAACGAAUCAUGUGGGUACAAUCUGACCGUUAGAACACAAAGCGGAUAUGUGAGGGGUUUCAUGACAAGAAGUUCAUCAAAUUCCAGUCUUUUUUUCUAUGGAUUUAGGUCAGUCCCCUACGCAAAGGCACCAUUAGGAAAUCUUAGA